GACGAACGCUGGCGGCGUGCUUAACACAUGCAAGUCGAACGGAAAGGCCCUGCGUUUGUGUGGUUCUCGAUUGGCGAACGGGUGAGUAACACGUGAGUAACCUGCCCUUGACUUUGGGAUAACUUCAGGAAACUGGGGCGAAUACCGGAUAGGAGCUCCUGCUCCAUGGUGGGGGUUGGAAAGUUUCGGCGGUUGGGGAUGGACUCGCGGCUUAUCAGCUGGUUGGUGAGGUAGUUGCUUACCAAGGCUUUGACGGGUAGCCGGCCUGAGAGGGUGACCGGCGACCUUGGGACUGAGAUACGGCGCAGAAUGCUACGGGAGGCAGCAGUGGGGAAUAUUGCACAGUGGGCGGAAGCCUGAUGCAGCAACGCCGCGUGCGGGAUGACGGCUUUCGGGUUGUAAACCGAUUUCGACUGUGACGAAGCGUGAGUGACGGUACUGGGUAAAGAAGCACCGGCUAACUACGUG
rnacentral:rRNA from 1 species